UUCGACCAUGAACGAAUAUUUUGAAGGUGUUUCUAUAUUGUGGAGCAUAAGGCAAAUUUUAAAGAUGAUGGUCGAUGGAGGUUUAGUGUUGAGAAUUGCCUACGACCCAAAUCCUACCCCUAAAUAGGUCGUAUAUGAUGGUACACAACGUCUAACGGUUAAACAAAGAUUGAAAAUUCAAACGAACACGGUUCCAACGGAUAACUCGGAUAUAAACACACCACCCGAAUGAAUCCGAUAAGCAAACCAAACCCGUAAUAGGAUACAGUCACACCACCUAUCACGAAUAAGGGUCCAAAGAUCACAUCUCAAGAUGCUAAACUUGAGAUAGCAAUGGAAGAAUUUUAGCUCUCUAGUGGGGAAAAC
rnacentral:lncRNA from 1 species